CUGACGAGUGGCGGACGGGUGAGUAAUGCUUAGGAAUCUACCCAGUAGAGGGGGACAACCCGGGGAAACUCGGGCUAAUACCGCGUACGCUCUACGGAGGAAAGCGGGGGAUCUUCGGACCUCGCGCUAUUGGAUGAGCCUAAGUCGGAUUAGCUUGUUGGUGGGGUAAAGGCCUACCAAGGCGACGAUCCGUAGCUGGUCUGAGAGGACGAUCAGCCACACUGGGACUGAGACACGGCCCAG
rnacentral:rRNA from 1 species